UACGAAGGGGGCUAGCGUUGCUCGGAAUCACUGGGCGUAAAGGGUGCGUAGGCGGGUCUUUAAGUCAGGGGUGAAAUCCUGGAGCUCAACUCCAGAACUGCCUUUGAUACUGAGGAUCUUGAGUUCGGGAGAGGUGAGUGGAACUGCGAGUGUAGAGGUGAAAUUCGUAGAUAUUCGCAAGAACACCAGUGGCGAAGGCGACUUCCUGGCCCGUUCUUGACGCUGAGGCGCGAAAGCUAGGGGAGCAAACGGG
rnacentral:rRNA from 1 species